rnacentral:tRNA from 1 species
GCUUAUUUAGUAUAAGUAGUAUAGCUGCCUUCCAAGUAGUUGGUUUAAUAAUAAAUUAAAAUAAGUA